rnacentral:rRNA from 1 species
UCGAAGGGGACAGCCCAGACCCCCGUUUAAGGCCCCUAAAUAUUUGCUAAGUGGUAAAGGAUGUAAUAUUACAUAGACAACCAGGAGGUUAGCUUAGAAGCAGCUAUCUACCUUUAAAAAGUGCGUAAUAGCUUACUGGUCAAGUGAUUUUUGCGCCGAAAAUGAAUGGGACUAAGCAUUUUGCCGAAGACGUGGGAAUAAAAAUCAGUAGAAGAGCGUUCUGUUUUGGUUUGAAGCGGUAGUGAAAAUAGUCGUGGACUAAGCAGAAGUGAGAAUGUCAGCUUAAGUAACGAAAACAUUGGUGGAAAUCCAAUGCCCCGUAAAUCUAAGGUUUCCUUAGCUAGGUUCGUCCACUAAGGGUUAGUCAGAUCCUAAGGUUAGGUUGAAAAACGUAGCUGAUGGUCAACAGGUUGAUAUUCCUGUACUAUUUUUUGUUUAAUUAGGAGUUACGAAAGAGGCUAAUUCAUCCAAACAUUGGUUGCUUUGGUUUAAAGUUUCGAGGUAUUAGAAGUAUUAUAAAAAAUAAUUUUAGCUAAGAACUGAAUACGAUAGAUACUACGGUAUCGAAAGUGAAAUAUGUCAUGUUUCCUAGAAAAACUUCAGCAAUGUGUAACAAAAAAUAUCUGUACCGUAAACUGACACAGGUAGAUUAGUAGAGUAUACUAAGGGGCUCGAGAUAACUCUUUCUAAGGAACUCGGCAAAAUGACUCCGUAACUUCGGGAGAAGGAGUACCUCAAUAUAGAGGUCGCAGUGAUCAGGUCCAAGCGACUGUUUACCAAAAACACAGGUCUCCGCUAAGUUGUAAAACGAUGUAUGGGGGCUGACGCCUGCCCAGUGCCGGAAGGUUAAAGAAAUUGGUUAGCUUUUGCGAAGCUAGUGACUGAAGCCCUGGUGAACGGCGGUCGUAACUAUAACGAUCCUAAGGUAGCGAAAUUCCUUGUCGGGUAAGUUCCGACCCGCACGAAAGGCGUAACGAUUUGGACACUGUCUCAGGAAGAGACUCGGUGAAAUAGAAUUGACUGUGAAGAUGCGGUCUACUUGCACUUGGACAGAAAGACCCUAUGAAGCUUUACUGUAACUUGAAAUUGGUUUUGGGCUUUUCUUGCGCAGAAUAGGUGGGAGGCUUUGAUUCUCUUUUUCGGAAGUAGAUGAGCCACAAUGUGAGAUACCACUCUGGAGAAGUUAGAAGUCUAAUUGUAUUCUUUUAUCAAGAUACUUGACAGUUUCAGGCGGGCAGUUUUACUGGGGCGGUAGCCUCCUAAAAGGUAACGGAGGCGUACAAAGGUUUUUUCAGUCUGGACGGAAAUUAGUUUGAGAGUGUAAAGACAUAAGAAAGCUUGACUGUGAGACCUAUAAGUCAAACAGGGACUAAAGUCGGUCUUAGUGACCCGACGGUGCUGAGUGGAAAGGCCGUCGUUCAACAGAUAAAAGUUACUCUAGGGAUAACAGGCUGAUCUCCCCCAAGAGUUCAUAUCGACGGGGAGGUUUGGCACCUCGAUGUCGGCUCAUCGCAACCUGGGGCGGUAGUACGUCCCAAGGGUUGGGCUGUUCGCCCAUUAAAGCGGUACGUGAGCUGGGUUCAGAACGUCGAGAGACAGUUCGGUCCAUAUCCGGUGUGAGCGUUAGAGUAUUGAAAGAGGCUUUCCUUAGUACGAGAGGACCGGGAAGGACGCACCGCUGAUGUACCAGUUUUUGUGCCAACAGAAAACGCUGGGUAGUCAAGUGUGGAGUGGAUACUGC